UGUCGAGAUGAAGUUUUCUAUAUUUUUGGUGUAGUUUAUUUUUUAUCUGUUGCCGAUGUAGUUCGUCGCUUUUCUUUUUAAUUUUUCUUCUCUUUUCUGAGUGAGGGUCCUCCCCUUGCUUUUCGCGGGGUCGCGUAGAGGUGUAGAGGUGCCGUUGAGGGAACUUUUUCCUUUAUCCGAUCAUGUUGGGCGAUCAAAUUUUUGUCAUCGUCAGGACGAGGUCC
rnacentral:lncRNA from 1 species